rnacentral:rRNA from 1 species
UACGUAGGGUGCAAGCGUUGUCCGGAAUUAUUGGGCGUAAAGAGCUUGUAGGCGGUUUGUCGCGUCUGCUGUGAAAUUUCGGGGCUCAACCCCGAACUUGCAGUGGGUACGGGCAGGCUAGAGUGUGGUAGGGGAGACUGGAAUUCCUGGUGUAGCGGUGAAAUGCGCAGAUAUCAGGAGGAACACCAGUGGCGAAGGCGGUGCUCUGGGCCGGUACUGACGCUGAGACGCGAAAGCGUGGGGAGCGAACAGG